rnacentral:rRNA from 1 species
AAUUUUUGUUAAGUCGUUACAAGGAGAACAUAAGGAACGUUUGGAAAGAUCAACG